rnacentral:lncRNA from 1 species
AAAAAUGUUAAGGGAUCAAGAAGUUAUGGAUAUUUGAAGUUAUGAAGAAAAAUGAACAUUUAACAAGUGAAAAAAAAAUCAUUACACUACCCAGAUUUGAACCCACACCCAAUAACUCAACAAACCAGUGUUUUACCACUGGGGGGCAAUGCCAAUUCAUGUAUUCAGUUACAUCAAUUAACAUAUAUAUGAAAGUGACUUUUAAAAUUUUAAAAAAU